UACGGGGGGUGCAAGCGUUGUUCGGAAUUAUUGGGCGUAAAGCGCGUGUAGGCGGUCUGAUUAGUCUGAUGUGAAAGCCCUGGGCUCAACCCAGGAAGUGCAUUGGAUACUGUCAGACUUGAAUACGGGAGAGGGUAGUGGAAUUCCUAGUGUAGGAGUGAAAUCCGUAGAUAUUAGGAGGAACACCGGUGGCGAAGGCGGCUACCUGGACCGAUAUUGACGCUGAGACGCGAAAGCGUGGGUAGCAAACAGGAUUAGAUACCCUGGUAGUCCACGCCGUAAACGAUGAGUACUAGGUGUUGCGGGUAUUGACCCCUGCAGUGCCGCAGCUAACGCAUUAAGUACUCCGCCUGGGAAGUACGGUCGCAAGACUAAA
rnacentral:rRNA from 1 species